rnacentral:rRNA from 1 species
CUGGCUCAGAACGAACGCUGGCGGCGUGUUUAAGACAUGCAAGUCGCACGGGAUUGGUUGAGUAGUAAUACGAUUCCAGUCUAGUGGCGCACGGGUGAGUAACAUGUGAAUUACAUGCCCUAUAGUGGGGAAUAGCCCAGGGAAACUUGGAUUAAUACCCCAUAGUCUCGCAAGAGUAAAGGUGGCCGCAAGGCUGUCGCUAUAGGAUUGGUUCGCACCCUAUCAGCUUGUUGGUGAGGUAAUGGCUCACCAAGGCUACGACGGGUACCUGGUCUGAGAGGACGAUCAGGCACACUGGAACUGAGACACGGUCCGGACACCUACGGGUGGCAGCAGUCGAGAAUAAUUCACAAUGGGGGCAACCCUGAUGGUGCAACGCCGCGUGGAGGAUGACGGUCUUCGGAUUGUAAACUCCUGUCAUCUGGGAGUAAGGCAUGGUUGUUAAUAGCAAACAUGAUUGAUAGUACCAGAAGAGGAAGGGACGGCUAACUUCGUGCCAGCAGCCGCGGUAAU